GUGAAAAAGAGGAACAAGUUCUAAACAAAAGUGGGUUUAAAACAUAACCAAAAGGACAGAAGAGAGCUCGGCAUACCAAUCUCAAGGUGUUAUGCUUUUCUCUAGGAGUAUUCAGAGGAAAAGACCUGACCCCUGUCCACCAUUUAACCAGCAGGCACGUGGAUUGCAGAUCGUUCAACCUUCCCUUCCUUGAGUUUUCUACUCUGCUAUUAGUUUCCACUCAUUGGUGCUUCAUUUUGUGAUUCAUUGAUAAAAAAGGAAGUGGAGUUGAAUGAAAUCCCCCCGACACGGUGCAAUUAUACAACAACAAUUGUAUAAUCAUCAGCUACAACAAG